rnacentral:rRNA from 1 species
GACGAACGCUGGCGGCGUGCCUAAUACAUGCAAGUAGAACGCUGAAGGAGGAGCUUGCUUCUCUGGAUGAGUUGCGAACGGGUGAGUAACGCGUAGGUAACCUGCCUGGUAGCGGGGGAUAACUAUUGGAAACGAUAGCUAAUACCGCAUAAGAGUAGAUGUCGCAUGACAUUUGCUUAAAAGGUGCAAUUGCAUCACUACCAGAUGGACCCGCGUUGUAUUAGCUAGUUGGUGAGGUAACGGCUCACCAAGGCAACGAUACAUAGCCGACCUGAGAGGGUGAUCGGCCACACUGGGACUGAGACACGGCCCAGACUCCUACGGGAGGCAGCAGUAGGGAAUCUUCGGCAAUGGACGGAAGUCUGACCGAGCAACGCCGCGUGAGUGAAGAAGGUUUUCGGAUCGUAAAGCUCUGUUGUAAGAGAAGAACGAGUGUGAGAGUGGAAAGUUCACACUGUGACGGUAUCUUACCAGAAAGGGACGGCUAACUACGUG